AGAUGCUUUGCAGUUCUUUCCCAAAAGGUCAGAGGUCAAACUCUCCAUUGCAGGAAACCUUCUGAUGAAUUAAAGAGCUAAAAAGACAAAGCAGAUGUCCUGGGGGAGGAGGAUAAACACCAACUUCAACCUGGCAACCCAAAAGUUGUUCCUACCCAUAAGCUAACUUCCUAAGUACUUGCCUUCAGAUAAGAGAGGAAAGUCGGAGGCAGCAGCUGGUGACAAAGCAAGCUGUUAUCCAGUUUCAUAGUGAUGAUCUUUUCCAGUUUCAUGCUGUGUGUCCACUGAACUCAGAUCGCAUGAGGACUGGACAAGUGAUCAAACUACCAUAAAGAAUGUGAAGACAUCCUGGCAUGAGAUGAAGAAGUUGAGGCGCUCUAACCAUCUCAAAACUGAGUUGAAUUUUCAAUUCAAAACGCAGCCUUUUACUUCAAUUUGCCUUAUGUUUUACUCAAGCUGUCGCUUUAAUUUUGCAAUGUGACCUACCAUAUUUCCUGUAGUUGUGUGUACAAGUAGUUUUCUUUGCAAUGUACAGUUCUAACACGCAUUUUAUGUCACAUAAGGUUUCAUUUAGAGCUUUAGAUAAUGUAGUUAAACUGGGGGUUUCUUAACAACUUGUGUGAAUGUUUGACUGCUCAUGCUGCUUGCCCAAGUGGACACUAGCAGUGUGUUGCUGUGACCCCAGAUCUCAGCAGGUAACUUAGUAAAUUGUUAUUGUAAUGAAACGGAUGGAUGGCCAAAAAUACAAAAAUAAAAUCCCCCAAAAACAGACUUUUUCUUAAACUGACCAUUUAGAGAGUUAUGGUUGCUUUUUAGAUAGCGACAGUAAAGAACAAUGUCUGAACAGCAGGGAGAAGCCGAAAGGUAAAUGAAAGAAAAGAGGAAGAUGUGGGGAAGAGGAGGGGGAUGAAAAGGGAGGAGUAGGAAGAGUUCAAACAAGUAACAGUGUGAGAGAGAAAGAGAUGGGAAAGGUGAGUUAAUGAUCCUUCACAUGGAGGCUAAUGAGUUCAUCUGAGGGGCUCUGAGGUGCUGUCUAGACUGUGAUGAAAGUUAGACACACACACACACACACACACACACCUCCCCUCACCCCUCCUCUUCUGUCUCACCUGUGGAGUGGGAACAAAGACACACCAUGAAUUGAUGAGUUCCUUCCUCCAGUAUAACUAAUGUUAACAGCUUGUCUUUAGCUGUUCAGGCUCAGGCACAGGCGACUAUUGCAUCUUAUUAACAGAAUUCAGGUUAAAGGUUAAAACCCACGUGUGACAAGAACCCCUCUGUCCUUGUUGAUGUUA